rnacentral:rRNA from 1 species
GCUUACCAUGCAGUCGAACGAUGAAGCCCAGCUUGCUGGGUGGAUUAGUGGCGAACGGGUGAGUAACACGUGAGUAACCUGCCCUUGACUCUAGGAUAAGCCCGGGAAACUGGGUCUAAUACUGGAUAGGAACGUCUACCGCAUGGUGGGUGUUGGAAAGAAUUUCGGUCAUGGAUGGACUCGCGGCCUAUCAGCUUGUUGGUGAGGUAAUGGCUCACCAAGGCGACGACGGGUAGCCGGCCUGAGAGGGUGACCGGCCACACUGGGACUGAGACACGGCCCAGACUCCUACGGGAGGCAGCAGUGGGGAAUAUUGCACAAUGGGCGAAAGCCUGAUGCAGCGACGCCGCGUGAGGGAUGACGGCCUUCGGGUUGUAAACCUCUUUCAGUAGGGAAGAAGCGAAAGUGACGGUACCUGCAGAAGAAGCACCGGCUAACUACGUGCCAGCAGCCGCGGUAAUACGUAGGGUGCGAGCGUUAUCCGGAAUUAUUGGGCGUAAAGAGCUCGUAGGCGGUUUGUCGCGUCUGUCGUGAAAGUCCGGGGCUUAACCCCGGAUCUGCGGUGGGUACGGGCAGACUAGAGUGCAGUAGGGGAGACUGGAAUUCCUGGUGUAGCGGUGGAAUGCGCAGAUAUCAGGAGGAACACCGAUGGCGAAGGCAGGUCUCUGGGCUGUAACUGACGCUGAGGAGCGAAAGCAUGGGGAGCGAACAGGAUUAGAUACCCUGGUAGUCCAUGCCGUAAACGUUGGGCACUAGGUGUGGGGAACAUUCCACGUUUUCCGCGCCGCAGCUAACGCAUUAAGUGCCCCGCCUGGGGAGUACGGCCGCAAGGCUAAAACUCAAAGGAAUUGACGGGGGCCCGCACAAGCGGCGGAGCAUGCGGAUUAAUUCGAUGCAACGCGAAGAACCUUACCAAGGCUUGACAUGUUCUCGAUCGCCGUAGAGAUACGGUUUCCUCUUUGGGGCGGGUUCACAGGUGGGUGCAUGGUUGUCGUCAGCUCGUGUCGUGAGAUGUUGGGUUUAGUCCCGCAACG